rnacentral:rRNA from 2 species
GGUCAAGCGAAUAAGCGCACACGGUGGAUGCCUUGGCGGUCAGAGGCGAUGAAGGACGUGGCAGCCUGCGAAAAGUAUCGGGGAGCUGGCAACAAGCUUUGAUCCGGUAAUGUCCGAAUGGGGAAACCCACCCGCUUGCGGGUAUCCUGCAGUGAAUACAUAGCUGCUGGAAGCGAACCUGGUGAACUGAAAUAUCUAAGUAACCAGAGGAAAAGAAAUCAACCGAGAUUCCGUAAGUAGCGACGAGCGAACGCGGACUAGCCCUUAAGCUGAUUUGGUUCUAGGAAAACGCUCUGGAAAGAGCGGCCAUAGAAGGUGAUAGCCCUGUAUCUGAAAGGGCCAUUUCAGUGAAGACGAGUAGGGCGGGGCACGUGAAACCCUGUCUGAACAUGGGGGGACCAUCCUCCAAGGCUAAAUACUACUGACCGACCGAUAGUGAACCAGUACCGUGAGGGAAAGGCGAAAAGAACCCCGGAGAGGGGAGUGAAAUAGAACCUGAAACCGUGUGCGUACAAGCAGUAGGAGCUCCGCAAGGAGUGACUGCGUACCUUUUGUAUAAUGGGUCAGCGACUUACUGUUCGUGGCAAGCUUAACCGUAUAGGGGAGGCGAAGGGAAACCGAGUCUGAUAAGGGCGCAUAGUCGCGGGCAGUAGACCCGAAACCGGGUGAUCUAGUCAUGCCCAGGGUGAAGGUGCGGUAACACGCACUGGAGGCCCGAACCCACUCCCGUUGCAAAGGUAGGGGAUGAGGUGUGAUUAGGAGUGAAAAGCUAAUCGAACCCGGAGAUAGCUGGUUCUCCUCGAAAGCUAUUUAGGUAGCGCCUCAUAUGUAUCCUCUCGGGGGUAGAGCACUGUUAUGGCUAGGGGGUCAUCGCGACUUACCAAACCAUUGCAAACUCCGAAUACCGAGACGGACUGUAUGGGAGACACACGGCGGGUGCUAACGUCCGUCGUGAAAAGGGAAACAACCCAGACCCACAGCUAAGGUCCCAAAUUUUGUGCUAAGUGGAAAACCAUGUGGAAAGGCACAGACAGCCAGGAGGUUGGCUUAGAAGCAGCCACCCUUUAAAGAAAGCGUAAUAGCUCACUGGUCGAGUCGGUCUGCGGGGAAGAUUUAACGGGGCUAAGCACAGAACCGAAGCUUGGGGUGCAUAACUUUGUUAUGCGCGGUAGAGGAGCGUUCCGUAAGCCGUUGAAGGUGGAUUGAGAAGUCUGCUGGAGGUAUCGGAAGUGCGAAUGCUGACAUGAGUAACGAUAAUGCGGGUGAAAAACCCGCACGCCGAAAGCCCAAGGUUUCCUUGCGCAACGUUAAUCGGCGCAGGGUGAGUCGGCCCCUAAGGCGAGGACGAAAGUCGUAGUCGAUGGGAAGCAGGUUAAUAUUCCUGCACCUCGCGUAAGUGCGAUGGAGGGACGGAGAAGGUUAGGUGUACCAGGCGUUGGUUGUCCUGGGGAAAGGCGGUAGGUUUGGAUCUUUGGCAAAUCCGGGAUCCUUUAAGACCGAGCACCGAGACGAGCCUUUAAGGCGAAGUCACUGAUACCACGCUUCCAGGAAAAGCUCCUAAGCUUCAGCUUACGCAGACCGUACCGUAAACCGACACAGGUGGGUAGGAUGAGAAUUCUCAGGCGCUUGAGAGAACUCGGGUGAAGGAACUAGGCAACAUGGCACCGUAACUUCGGGAGAAGGUGCACCCUUUUUGGUGGCUCAUGCGAGCUAUAGCUGAAGAGGGUCGCAGUAACCAGGCCGCUGCGACUGUUUAUCAAAAACACAGCACUCUGCAAACACGAAAGUGGACGUAUAGGGUGUGACGCCUGCCCGGUGCUGGAAGGUUAAUUGAUGGGGUCAGCCGCAAGGCGAAGCUCUUGAUCGAAGCCCCAGUAAACGGCGGCCGUAACUAUAACGGUCCUAAGGUAGCGAAAUUCCUUGUCGGGUAAGUUCCGACCUGCACGAAUGGCGUAACGACAGCGGCGCUGUCUCCACCCGAGACUCAGUGAAAUUGAAAUCGCUGUGAAGAUGCAGCGUUCCCGUGGCAAGACGGAAAGACCCCGUGAACCUUUACUAUAGCUUUACACUGAACGUUGAGUUCGUCUGUGUAGGAUAGGUGGGAGGCUAUGAAACCAUGGCGCUAGCUGUGGUGGAGCCAUCCUUGAAAUACCACCCUGUCGUGCUUGACGUUCUAACCUGGGCCCAUUAUCUGGGUCGGGGACCGUGUAUGGUGGGUAGUUUGACUGGGGCGGUCUCCUCCUAAAGAGUAACGGAGGAGCUCGAAGGUACGCUCAGCGCGGUCGGACAUCGCGCACUGUGUGCAAAGGCAUAAGCGUGCUUGACUGCAAGAUCGACGGAUCAAGCAGGUAGGAAACUAGGACUUAGUGAUCCGGUGGUUCUGUAUGGAAGGGCCAUCGCUCAACGGAUAAAAGGUACUCCGGGGAUAACAGGCUGAUACCGCCCAAGAGUUCAUAUCGACGGCGGUGUUUGGCACCUCGAUGUCGGCUCAUCACAUCCUGGGGCUGUAGUCGGUCCCAAGGGUAUGGCUGUUCGCCAUUUAAAGUGGUACGCGAGCUGGGUUCAGAACGUCGUGAGACAGUUCGGUCCCUAUCUGCCAUGGGCGUUGGAGAUUUGAGAGGGGCUGCUCCUAGUACGAGAGGACCGGAGUGGACGAACCUCUGGUGUUCCGGUUGUCACGCCAGUGGCAUUGCCGGGUAGCUAUGUUCGGAAGCGAUAACCGCUGAAAGCAUCUAAGCGGGAAGCGCGCCUCAAGAUGAGAUCUCCCGGGGCACAAGCCCCCUGAAGGAACCAUGUAGACUACGUGGUUGAUAGGUCAGGUGUGUAAGUACAGCAAUGUAUUGAGCUAACUGAUACUAAUGAUCCGUGCGGCUUGACCAU